UUCAUGAUGUCAUCCCCUACCUCCAGCACAUUCGUCAUGGACACCCAAUCCCGAUCCCAAAUUCUAAUCGAUUCAGCUCGAUCUUGCUCCUAGCACACUCGUUCCUACCUAUUAAUAAUCUGCACCCUCUCCUCUUUCAAUUUUUCGCAAACUUGAGACCUCCCAUGCCCGUCUUGCCUCGUCUUCAUCUCGCUGCAGUCCGCCACCCUGAAGCUCGUGUCGCCAUUGCUUCCAGCGCCACCCAAGGUUCCUAGCCCUUCUUUUUGUCUGGUCUGAACUUUUAGCUCUUGCAGAUAGUCACUAAACCGAGCGACACGACCCCGCCCUAUCGAACACGAUUGCCAACACAACUCCAGCCGCAUCGAUGUGACACCAGGGGGUCGCCCCGUCGCUUAUGAGGACAUCAAACUCACCGUUGCUGAAUGUAGAGUCCGACACGCACCUCCCUGAGGCCAUCUGACCUCCGUAUUCGUCGCCCGCAUCUCCACCGAGCCGCUAAUGUCAUUCUUCUUCAAGUCCAGCAGCCGCCCAGCCUCUGUUUCCGGGUGGUGAAUGCUCUUCUAUGGAUUAAUUGGUGGUGGUGUGUCAAGCUUGAUCAGUUAGUGGAGGUUUGCUAUGUCAAUACGUGUGAUGUACCGAUACAUUCAAUCUAUUGACCCUUAUGUGGAUGCAACUUAUCAUGUUGGAGGAUAUACAUAUGAUUCAUGAGAUACAAUAGGAUCGUGAGUCUUCAAUCAGAAUCUCACCAAGGGGCAUUGAUGGGAUUCAUCGUUGGUUUAUGCUACAUUUAUGAUGUUAUUAUUGAAUAAAUAUAUUUAUAUGCUACGAGAUUGUAAUAUAUUAUAAACUCUGGAUCAUAGAUUUUAGUAAAUGAUGCACUUGUUACUUUGAUA